rnacentral:lncRNA from 1 species
AUCCUUGUCCAGAUGUCCUCCCAGAACAACUUGUUCCAUUCAAAGCAAUUAAACCACAGGUGCAAAAAUUAAAAGUGACUCAUCAAGAUCUAAUUGAUAAAUCAUGCACUAAAAUCAAACCCUGUUUUCAGCUCGUGAUAGUAAUCAGCAAAUUAAAGAUCAAUCAUAGUACUGCUCUUGUUGUUGAAUGUGGUGUGGCAUGUAGUUAUUCUUUCUCGUCUUCUUUUGAUCAUAGCCAAUCAUCCCUCUAGCUUCAGCCUGCACAUCCCUCACAUCUCUA